GGCUUUUCUGUCACUGACAACUGAAGGAAUCCUGACGGGUAAUAAGGAAACAUUUUCUGAAACUGAGAGCUGUCCAUACAUGUAAGGGGCUGCCUUUGGGAGGAGUGAGCUCCCCGUCACCAGAAGUGUUCAAGCAGAAGCUGGCAGACCACUUUGGAAGGGAAACUUCAUGCACUGGAGGGAAACUUGAGCUGAAUGACCUUUCAGUCCAAGAUUCCAUGACUACAGUUUCUCUGGAAGACAAGCUUAAAGAGAUUCUGGUUACUUCUCCUGGACUGACACGUGGACAUCACAGGGACAUCCAGAGCAUUCCAGAUCAAAUCGUAUCGGAUCAUAUUCCUCCCAGAUAAGUUCUCUUGACUGGAGACUUGUAGGAAGUUGACUUGAAUUUGGAGGAAGAUGAGGGGAAUGUUGCUUGGUUUGCUGAGGAAAGAAAGGAGAUCCUGUUGCCAAUCUCAAUACGUCUGAAGAGCUCACUCUCUAUGCAGGACGCUCUUCACCAAGAAAAACCGACACAAGACAGCCGUUGUGGGAGGGAGGGUGUGGCGUCCAGACCACAGAGCCGAGCUGUCAGUGUCUGUCCACCGCCUUCUGUCAGGAGCUGGAAUUCUGCAGCUGUCUCCUUUCAUGCCAUAAAUGAUCCCGCUCAUUCAGCCCGAGAUGGGGCUGGGGGUGUGGGGGAGGCAACGGCAGAUAAAACCCCCUGGGGGAGCGUGGUGGACUGGGGUCAGGUAACGCAACCAGAGUUGCCGGAGGCCCUUCAUCCCCCAAGCUCUCAGGCUUAGUUCCACCUGUGUUGAUCAAGAGAAGCCAGGUUCUGCCGUGGUAACAACCACCCCGCCCCCCCCUCCCCGCAAUCUCAGUGCCUUAACACAAUAAAAGUGUAUUUCUCACUUACUGCUGUCACUGGUACGCACUUGUGACCCAGGCAGACAGAGGCUUCAUUUCAACAUAUGCUUCUAAGAAAUGUGGCAAGUUCUUAAAGCUUCUCUCAGGAAGUGCUCUGUGCAACUUCCACUCACAUUUCAUUGGACAAAGCAAGUCACGUGGCUGCACCUAACUUCAGGAAGUGGACUCCUGCCAUGUGAGGCCACAUCCCCACUAAGGCAACUGUGUGGCCUCGGGCAAGUCAGUUAUGUGCUGUCAGCCUCAGCGUCAGUAUCCAUAAAAUGGAGCCUUACCUGACCUCCGUGUUCAUUCCUUCAUUAUUCAUUCAUUCAUUCAGUCAGUCAGUCAGUCAGUGAGUACAGUGUUCUGCGUAGGAGCCCAAACUCCGGAGCCAGCUUCCCUGGCUUCCUGCUCACCUAAAUUAUAUCCUACCUAUAUGACCUCAGGCAAGUGACUUCAUGCCUUCUGGCCCUCAGUUUCUGUGUCUGUGAAGUGGGGCUGAUGGUGGUGCCCAGCUCACGGAGUCGUCAUGCAGGUAGAACACGUGUAUAGUGUAAGUGACACGGAAUAGAGAAAGGCCUUCAACAGCCCUGGCGGAUCGUAAGUGCUCUGUGCCUCUCAGUUUUACUAUUCACGCCCCCAGGUAGCCACGUAUUCAACGAAUUAUUUACCCAGAAUCUUCGCAGGUUGCAUUCGAAGGCUCUUAUGAGAACUGAAGGUGAAAACAGAUGUAAAUCCACACUGCGAAUGACAGGGUACCCACGGGGAAGGGUAAGAGGGAGAGGUGGCCUUUGGGUAGGACCAGGAUUUAUUUUUGCUUCUCUUUAUUGAGCACUAGUAUGUACCAGGCUCUGUACUAAGCGCUUCCACGGGAGCCCUAAGAGCCAGUCCUAUGGACCAGGAACUGGGCUCCAGGAGGUGCGGUUCACUUGUUCCAGGUCCCACAGGUGGGGAGUGUGGGCCUUCCCAGGAUGUGGAGCCAGGACAUGGGCAUCUCGCGUGAAGCCCUCGGCUUUCUCCUGGGCGUGCUGUUAAGAGUCUCUGCUGGCCCUUUAGCCUGCUGGCUUCUCGAACAGAAGGAAAGUUCCUGAAAGGCAGAAGGUGUUCUCCUUAAUUCUUGGGGUUCUCAUGUUGCCUGGGACCACACCAGCAACACCACAGGGUGGCCAGUAGAAAGAGGAGGAGGAGGAGAGAGAAUAAGCCAAAGAUGAGGUUUGGUUUGAGGCCCCGCAGCCGGCUGAUAAUCUUCAGAACGCCCCCUCUCCUGUUGAAGCUUUCGUUUCUUCACCGUUAGCUCCCUAGGCCUUUCUGUCCACAGGGCUUCAUGGGCCCCACUCUUCAAACACGUACAGCUUAAUAGAUGCCUGCUGACUUGGCAAGAGGAUGUGGCCACACUUAAAAGGCAUUUAUUACCAAUUUGAGGCCAUUUGGCCUUUCUUUGACACACUUUAAAGUCAGACAAGCAAAGAUAUUAUCUAAGACAUUACCCAUCUUUCUUCACCUGAGCACGAAUUUUCCAUCUGCCUCAGGUUCUGCCAAAAAAAACGGUGAGGGGAGGAGCAGAGGGGGCCGUGGAGCUCGUGAGCCCUCAUACAACGUGCCCAGAAGUUUCUCAAAGUGAAGGCCCACAAGAGGACCCCAAAGCUCGGAGAGGCUGCCUCGCUGGGUCGUCACUCUGCUGGGACUCUGACCCAGGGCCCGCUCUCUAAGCCCAUGCCUGAGGUUUCCUGUAGAUCGGAAGUCAUGGCAAAGGGACAGGAUGGUGCUUCUAGACGGGGCCUCUCACCCCGGGGACAGUGUUCAUUCUUCAGACCCUUCUGCUGGUCCCCUCUGCAAGGAGGCUCUGAGGACGCUGAGGCUGCCUGUGACUUCCUGUCCUGGCUGGAGGAAGACGUGCGUGCCCCCUGGCUUCCUGGGAACCUUCAGUGGCCCCGGCUUUCCGCGGCUGAGUCACGGGAGCUCAGCCCAAUGUUCUCAGCUGGAACAGUCGUAGGAAAGUGUCUGGAAACUCCCCCAAGUCUUAUCGGCAAAGAUUUUGUUGAAGACAGUUCAGCCGUAUUCCUGCUUCCUCUGCUGUCUGAGACCUCACCUUGCCCCGGGGAGGAUGAGAGAGGCUGGGGAGGCAAGAGGACCAGAAGAUGAUGACCCUGGGCCCAGGGCUGCCCGUCCUGUGGAGCGCUUGCCAGUCCCUGCCCCACACCAUCCAUCCCACUUGUCAACUAGUACCUGGUGCCUAACAUGUACAAGGACUGAGUUAGGCAUUGGUGAUAGUAGAAGAGCCCAGUGGUUAAGAGUGUGUUAGCCAGAUCUGGACUCAAAAUUUGGAUCUGCUGCUUACUGGCUAUGUGACCUCAGGCAGAUUAUUUAACCUCUCUGAGCCUUAUUUUCCUAUCUGUCAUUUAUCAAACCUUGUGGGUUUGUUGUGAGGAUUAAAUGAGAUAAUACAUAUAUGCUCAGCAUAAUGCCUGACACAUCAUAAGCGCUCAAGCAAUAGUAGCUAUUAUUAUUAAGUGCAAAACAAUCAUGUCACAUCUUAAUGAAUUCAGUUCAGUUCCACAACAUUCAUGGAGCACCUGGUGUGUGUCAGGAACCGUGUCUGGCUCUGGGGGAGGUGGGAAGAGAGAAACAAUCCUGCCUUCAAGGAGCUCACCGGAGACAGCCCAUCAGUAAAUUAUGACGAUACCGUGAGCGAUCUAUUAGGGGUGUGAAGAGCAUAGACAUACCUAAGAAGGGUCAGUGCCAGUUUCUGGAGGAGGAGCUGCCUCAGCUGAGACCCCGAAGAGAACAGGAAUCUGCCAGGUGAAGAGAUGGAGGGCUGAAGGGCCAGAGCAGUGAAGCCGGGGGCUCCGGAAGAGGGGACCGCUUGAGCAGAGGGUUAUGCAGUACUCAGGAUGUAGCAUGAAUUGCCUCAAGGAGAUGGAAGGGUCUAGGGCAUAAGGACUCAGGGCUUGCUGUAGGAGAGCUGGGUUCAAGACCGACCUCCUUCUCUUCCUAGCUAUUGACAUGUGGCAAGUCCUCCCCGCAGAGACUUGAUUUCCUCAUCAGUAGAACAGAGAUAACCCAGCCCCUUCACGGGGUAAGGGCCAUGAAUACAGGCUGCUGUGUUUGCGCAGCGACAGGUCUGUUUGUGGCUGAGUGUCUUCUGCUCCAGCAGGGCCUCAGGCCCCGGGCGCCGAGACUUCUGGGCCCUCAGAAGGCGUCACACCAGCUUCCCGAGCAGCGCACUGGCCGCGGGCCGGGCACUGUGGGACUCACCUCGUGAGUCUCACCCAGUCAGACUUCACCGCGCGGAUGCUGAGCAGCAUCCUCAUCCUCACCCAUGUGGUCCAGGACAGAGGGGUUCCCAUCCCUCGGAAACCCCUGGGCAAACCUGGAUGAGUUGCUCACCCAACAAACGGGGACAUAGGAAUUUACCCAGAUCCAGUCCUGCUGCAGGCCAGUGGCUGAGCUGGAAUCUGAACCCAAGCCGUUUGCCCUCUGACGGAGCUCUUAGCCACUGCACUGUUACUUAAACCAAUAAAUGGUGACCUUUCGAAACAGAGGAAUCACCGAACUCUGAUUCAUUCCCAAACAGACCGAUUAGUCUUCCCUGUGUCUAAACUCACUAAUUCUCCUUCCGCACAAUGGGCCCGGCACUCAGUCUUGGACGAUGACACCCAUAGUUCGAAUACUUCAAAUAUUCUCCUGCGAAUAGACUGUAAACAGAGAAGUGAGUAGGGGGAGGAGAGGAAGGGAGCGGGGGCAGUGGGAUGAGGCCACAGCCACCUGCACCUGUCCUCCUGGGACACAGCCGAGUGCAGUCUCGGGCCCUCUGCCCCCAUCACCUCGCCUCUCUCGGGAGCCAGGGGCACCAGAGCCACACACUUGGCAGGCCCCCUCGAGCCCUGGCAGUUGGGCAGCAGCUGUGAAAUGAGAGUUUGGGAGGGACCCUGAGCUGAGCAGCGAGCAGAAGCCAUCAGGACCUUCGGUUUCCUUUCCAGAGCACAUCUGAACCAGCUGCAUGCGGUUGCAGGGCUGGCGGCCCACAAUGGAGGGUGAACUGGAUGCCUGCUGGGCGACAGGCAGGCGCGAUGACACAGGCCAGAGUAUUAUUUACUCCCUGGGAACAGGUGCUGCCCGGGACUUGCCGUCCUCUCUUGCCUGACUCUCCUCUGCCCACAUGUCCCGGCCCUACUCGGAGGCAGCUCCCUCCAUGCCCUGAGCGGGCCCCCGCCCCAGCCCUUGGCAGCAGGCGCCUGGGGGGUGCCAGCGGUGGGCCGGCUCCCCUGGAGACAUGCGCUCUCACUGGAAUCGGCUCAUUUUACAUAAACUGUUGGUGCAGAUGUCAGGUGAUAGCAACUUUCCGGCCCCAGUUAACCUGCCAUUGCCCUGUCCGUGCCCAUGCAGAUGCAACAGAAGGAGCAGAGGGAAAGCCAUGGAAGAGCGAGGAGAAAAUAAUACUGCACGCAAGCAUCUUUGUGGACUGGCAAGUUCGCCUCUGGAAAAUGCCCUCGACUGCGAGCCAGGAGCGGCUUUUCUAUCAGAGGGAAACAAACAACCUGCAGGCGAGCUCCCACUGCCGCCCGCUGCUCUUUCCUCCCUGAUUAUGUGUUAUUUCCUUCAAGCUCUGGUUGGUAAACACGCAGCACUCUUCUGUUGAUUCACACAACAAUACAGAAGGAGGUUAAGGCAUUUCUUUGCACAGUUUGAUUGAGGACAAAUACAGAGGGGAAGUGAGUGAGCAGAAGGCCUGGAGGUCUUGUUUGGCUCAUGAGCUGGACCACAUGCUGCAUUCACCCCAAGUCCUUCUUCCCGAACCCCAGGACCGUCAGAACACAUCAGUGCCAACUGUGAACCAGCUUCUUGGCCCCGGGACGCAGUGGGGGAAAAACGCUCCCAACCCGGCAGUGGAGGGAAGACAAAUAUACGGAUAAUCCCAGCAUGUGGCCCAGGGUCACAGGGCCGUGAGUGACAGAGGCACAUGCUGUGGGUUAGCAGAGAGCAAGACUGCACUUGGCCGAAGAGCUCAGGAGAAAACGGCCACGAGGUUUCCUGGUUCAGACCCUCAUCCUGUGCCCUGGACCACAGAAUCUGCGUCUGCACCGGCAUCCUGCUUGCAAGCUCGUCCCGCUCCGAUGCACCUCUCAUUCUGCUACCAGAGGGGUCUUUCUGACUUACAACUCCAGCAGUUCUCCACUCAUCGAAAACGCUUCAUUGAACUCCAUCACUCCAGGAUAAAGGCCAGCAUGGCCAUCAUCAUCUAGCACCCGCCCCCCCAGCUCCCCUCCCCAGCCUCAUUUCUCAAACUCAUCUUUUCAGAUGGUUUUUACUCCAGUAGUGCUGAACCGUAUGCCAUUUCGCCUUCCUUAGGUCGCCUCCCUGAACUGAACUCCUAUUCAUCCUUCAAAACUCACCUUCCAUAUGACCUCCUCCAAGUAUUGAUCGUGGUGUCUUCUGUGUUGUCUCUCUCUGUCUCGUUCUUCUUAAACUUCUUUGGAUUGUAAUGCUUUAUCUUCCUGUUAAUGUUUACCAAAAGACUGGAGCUUCUGAGGGUUAAGAGUCAUAGAGAGUUCGAGGCGGUGUCCUGGCAUCCAGCAUGGUGCCUGGCGCUUAGCCAUGCUCCACACGUGUUGGUGCCAUCCCUUUCCACCAAAGGAAGGCUGACACCCUGGGGCUGACCAUACCUAGUGUCCCCAGUGCCUACUUCUCCUUUUCUGGAACUUUCUCCCAUAGUCCUCCUCAAACCCUCUUCUAAAGCCUUUAGCUCCCUCCAUCCUAACGCCCUCCUCCCACUGCCAAGAAAAAAAAGCCCGGUCUCAGGUCUCAGGGGAGGAUAAUCUAAACUCUUCCAAAGAGAGCGAGAGAAAGAAAAGGGCCUGAUCUUAAUUGAUCUCCUGUGUCUCUCAUGUCCUAGCGCCUUUGACCCCACAGCAACCCAGUGAACAGAGUAUUUUGACCUCCAUUUUACAGAUUAAGACACUAAAGUUUAGAGACAGCAUGUGACUUUCCCAAGGUCACUCAGCUGAUGAGCAGAGCCAGGAUUCCCACCCAGAGGGUCUGACUCCAAAGAGUUUUCCCCUUUCACUGUAAGAGGGGGUGGAGUUGGGGUAUCUGCCGUUUCCUAGUCACCCUCCACACAAAAAGCGGAAAGCCUCUGUCCUAGUUAUUUCUCCACCCUACAGGUCCCAGGCUGAAAUCCUACUUCUUCCCAGAGGCCCCAUCUCCUGCAGCCAGCCCAGGCCGAUCUUGCCUUCUGCUGACCUCCCGUCUCCCGCGGGACCGCCCGGGUACCAGUGCGUUCCACACUGCACUGGCCUCUGGGGGUUUCUGUGUCAGCAGCUUUUCAUCUCAGUGCGAAGGCUGGGAACAUGCUCCUGCUCCCCAGACAGGAUCUAGGACAAUGCCAGGCACGGGGCAAGAAGCCAACUGACAAGUCCUUUUAUUCCAAAGGUGUGUUGAUUCACAGCUGUAGUGUCCUCUGUUCCACUACCUGCUCCUUUUGUGAUCUUGGACAAGUCACUUCUCUCUCUUUGUACUCCAGUUUCCUCAUCUCCGAAGUAACAAAAUUGGACUUCUGUAAUAAUAUCUAACGUUUCCACUGUGUUUACUCUGUGCCGGGCAUUGCUAUAGUGCCUUACAUCUACUACCUGAUUGAUUCCUCGCAACAACCCUGGGAGGCAUCCACUCUCACGAUCUCAUUUUAUAGAAACAGGAAACCAAAGCACAGAGAGGGUAUGUAGUGUUCCCAAGGCCACACAGCCAGUAAGUGGCAAAACCUGGAUUUAAAGGCAAGCAGUCUGUUCCAGAGUCCAUGCGCUAACCAUUACAUGCAAUGCACCUCCUCUUAGAUUUCUCUUUACGGUGUGGGUGUCUCCUUCAUUCAUUUCACAGCUGUUUACUGGUCCUCUGCUCUGUCCCAGUCACAGGGGCCAGAGUUAGAAAACCCAAUAAGCCCCUGAUUCUGCCCUUGGGGUCCCCCGUGGCGUGGUGCGGAGUGGUGGCUGAGGACCCUCAAGCCUUCUAGGUGUCCUUCUGGAGGGCUGGGCCGGCUACAGCACAAGCACCUCCACCACAUGUCCCCCAAAGUUGGAUUUUUCAGUGCUGUUUUAUUUUCUCGUGGAUUCACACUAUAACUCAGAGUGUCUUUAUCAGGAAUGGGGACUAAGGCCCCUUGACCUGUGGGUGCCCCUGUCCUGGUAUCUGUCAAGUGGUUUGUUGGACUCAGCUGCCUCGUUCCAGGCCCCCCACAACGCAGCUGCAGCAUCACCCUCCACAGGACCCCCCCCCCAGCGGGGGCUGAAGACUCUCUGUUCCCACAAACGUGCCCCUCACUCUUCCUCCUUCCCGUGGUGUCUGCCCGCCCGUCAUGGGCCCGCUCAUCCUUCUUGGCUCAUCACAGAAGCCACCUCCAUGAAGCCUCUCCUGGUUCCCCUCACCAGAUGCAAUCGCUCUGUCCUUGCUCUUCCGUGCGGAGUUCGAGUUCCUCGCAGGCAAGAACACGUUUUAUAGGCAAUUGUCCAAAGCGUGCAAUACAGCAACUCCCAGUGCAGAGCGGAAGGCACCAUUCCCUGGGCUGCAAAGCCCUAAUUUCUAGCCUCUGCUCCUCUAUUGAAUACUUGUGUGACAUAUGACAAGUCGUUGUCAUUUAUUUAUUGUUUGUUUCUCCUGAUCCCUAAAGAAUACAGAAAAGUGUAAAGAAGGCCUAAAUUAUCCAUAAUUCCCACCACUCUUCCUAUUUUGCUCUAUUUCCUUCUUAUCUCUCCUCUAUGCAUGUAGCACAGGUGGAAGUAGAUAUGCUGUAAAUAUUGUUUUGCGACCAUUUUCACUUAAUGUUUUAUGAACAUUGUCUUUGAUGAAAAUCUUUUAUACAGAAUUUUUUUAAAAAAAUUUUUAUUGAGGUAUAAUUUACAGACAGCAAAUGCACCGUUUUUUAAGUGCGUGGUUUUGAUGAGUUCUGACAACUGUGAGCACUCAGUAACCAUCACCACGGUCGGAUUUAGAACAUUUCCACCAUUCCCAGAAGUUCUGAACACUCCUUUGAAGUCAGUCCCCACAUUCCUCCGGGCCCAGGUGACCACGGAUGUGCUUCUACAGCCGGAUUUUUUUUCUUUUGAGGAAGAUUAGCCCUGAGCUAACUACUGCCAAUCCUCGUCUUUUCGCUGAGGAAGGCUGGCCCUGAGCUAACAUCCAAGCCCAUCUUCCUCUACUUUAUAUGUGGGAUGCCUGCCACAGCAUGGCUUGACAAGCAGUGCCAUGUCCGCACCCGAGAUCCGAACCAGAGAAUCCCAGGCCGCAGAAGCAGAAUGUGCGAACUUUACCGCUGCACCACCAGGCCACUACGGCCAGAUUUUGAAUGACCAUGUCAUGCUGCAUCGCAAGGAUGCCUUUCUUGGUUAGGCCAUUUCCCGAUUGUUGGCCACAAGGACAGUAUCUCACUUUUCCCUGUAAUGAAUUACAAUCCAAUGAACAAUCUUUGGUCAUACCUAUGCUUAUGUCCCUGGGAUAAAUGCUCAGACCUAGAGUUGUCGGAUCAAAGGGUACAUACGCACAGUUUUAAGCUUAUGAUAAAUAUUUGAGCAAGUCGCUUUUAAUCGCUCUGAGUCUCAGUUUAGCCAUUUGUAAAAUAGGGACUAAAAAUUCCAGCCUCAAGGAGUUGCGAGGAUGACGUGAGACAAGGUAUAAGGCAUUUCGAGUAACUCAUCAGCCCGGCUGCAAAUCCCUGGGGAGCAGAGUGGGAGGAGAGCCUGGGCCAGGUGGCUCUGGAUUUGAGUCCUGACUCGGCCCCUCUUCUGGCCGUGGCCCUGAGUGAGCUGCCUACCCUCAGCGGCCUCGCCGUUCUCAUGUGUCCAGUGGGAAGCAGGUUCCGUGCUCCCAGGGUUGCUGUGAAGGUUAAGUGAGAUUCUCCCCGUUGGAGCUCAGAGCACUUCCUAGCAGUGAUUAGUUCCGGUCAGGGUUUUCGGUUACAAAUAAAUAGGCACCACUCUGGUUAACUUAAGGAGAGGAGGAAGUUGUUGAAAGGAUAUUGGGUAGCUCACAGAAUCAACAGGAAGGCUAGAGACCCAGGCGUGCAAAACGAGCAGGAACUAAGGUAGAUUGGGCAGCUGAGCACACAGCCCAGGCCCUGCCCCAGGAAGUGUCUCGUUAGGACCUGCGCUGGCACUGCCGCCUCCCGGGCCUCGCUGCCCAGGCCGCCGCCAGACACCCGGCUGGUGUGGCUCCCGUCAUUGCGGGCCAUCCUCCUGUCCAUACCACACGCUCCAGAUUUCCAGUUCCAGAUGGAGGCAUCCAAGUGGCAGAGUCGGGCUUACAGACCAGAGCCCCGGCUGCCAGGGAAUGAGAUGAACAAACGUCUGCUUUCUUUCAGCUUCUGCUGGGCUGCGGGGGGAGAAGGGGGGGCAGUUCCCGGCUUCGUCCCCAAGCCCACAGAGUGUGAGAAUUCCCUAAAAUAGGCAGCAGGCUCAGACGCUGGGUUGCUAAAAGUGAUAAGUCCAUGACGCUAUUAUUUUUAAUAAUGUGAUGACUGAAUAAAUGUUUAGUGAAUUGUGUUUAUUCUAUAAACACAUGCUAAAUGCUAUAGGACAAGCAUCGUUUUAAAGAAACUUCUUCGUGAAUGCUCUGAUAAAAGUUAUGGCAGAUUUGCGCAUUUGGAAGGUGUCAUAUUGGGUUUUCUUCUCGUGGGAACAGGUCUGCAUAAACUUCUAGUGAUUUUAAGGUAUUCGGGUGUGCGUGUGUGUGUAUGGGGUUGGCAUGGAGAGGACACAGGGAGAAGAUAGAAUCUGUGAUCUACUGCAAAUGAGCACUCUUGAUCAAAUCUUCAAAUUCCACUGUCCAUUUCCUUUUGGUUUGAUUUGAUACAAUUUUUCACUAGAACUGGGCAAGUCCAGUUACCCAGGAUGAGGCAGAAAGUCAAGUUGGCCACAGGUAUGGGUAGCCUGGGGGCUGGUCUGAUUUCAGUGGGGGUCGGUUGAACAUAGUUAACAGCUGACUCCUGUUAUUUAUCUUCCAUAGCUAUGAUUUUUUGAGCCCUUAAUGGACAUUGCUUGUUUAAUUCUCACAAUCACCUGUGGUGGGAAAAUGGCGGCCCAGAGCAUAAGAAUAAUCUUUUCAAGGUCACACAGCUAGCAGGUGAAAGAUUGGGGAUUUGAAGCCAGGUCUGCCUGUGGUUGAAUUCAAGGCUCUUAGCUACAAGUGUAGCAAAGCAAACAGUGUGCACAUGGCUCUGGAGAGCUGGGGACAGGGCCACCGUGUCAACAGACAUGUUAGCCAGGUGGACAUAGCAUGAGGAUGAAGCGUGGGAGGCGAGCCCUCCAACAGUCAGCUCAGGCUUCCAGGGCAGAUUCCCAGGCCCAGGGAGGUGGACUAGCCAGUCAUAUGAGAUAUACUUAAAACUUGCUUGUUUUUGCCUUAAAAAUAUUUUGUUGUACUAGAUUGACUGACUAUUUGCAUAUAUGCAAAAUAUCCCUGCCUCUCAUCCCCCAUCCUUCCAGGCAACUAAUGGUACCAGUUUUUAUGUAUUCUGCCAGAGUUCUUUCUAUGCAUCCACAAACAUAAGUAAUGAUUCAUCUGUCCUUCUAUUUGCAACCUAAAUGGUAUCAUACUGUGUGCAUUGUUCUACCCUUCAGUGUGUUCGCUUAACAAUAUGUCUUGGAGAUCUUUCCAUGAUGGUAUACAUAGCUCUUCUUCAUUUUUUAACAGUUGCAUAGUUUUCCAGAGUGUGACCAUUCUAUGAAUAUACCAUAAUUUACUUAACAUGGUCUAUUAAUA
ensembl:lncRNA